rnacentral:lncRNA from 1 species
GCCCCAGCAAAUUUAAAUUUGUAAAAAUGGCUCUUAUCUUGCCAUGCAGGCACCAUGUUAAUGCCAUGCGGGCGAGGCUGGGGCCAGAUAGUUAAGUUGAAUACGGUGAAUCAUUCACCGUGUCUAAACAUUGAUCCUGCCACGCAGGCCCCACGUCAGUGCCAUGCCGGCGGGGCUGGGGCCAGAUAGUUAAGUUCAACACGGUGAACCAUUCACCGUGUCUAA